rnacentral:lncRNA from 1 species
AAGCCAUAAUUUUGGGACAAUCAAGUCAUAAUUUUUGACAAUCUUCAACACAAUCAAGCCAUAAUUGUUGGGAAUCUUCAACACAAACCUUCUCAAUAAUAUGGAAUAUAUAUACCUUUAGGAAUUACCCCCGCAGCAAGCAAGUGUAUCGGAAUACUCGCCAACACAAGUUUAAUCAAAAUAAUCUUACCACCUGCAUAUAACAAUCAAGACUUCCUUGAGAGCACCUUGUAGAUGAUUGAUUGACACAAAUCUACAUAAUAA